UACGGGGGGCAAGCGUUGUUCGGAAUUAUUGGGCGUAAAGGGCGCGUAGGCGGCUUGGCAAGUGGAAGGUGAAAUCCCUCGGCUUAACCGAGGAACUGCCCUCCAAACUGCUUUGCUUUGAGGCCGGGAGAGGUGAGUGGAAUCCCCAGUGUAGCGGUGAAAUGCGUAGAUAUUGGGAGGAACACCAGUGGCGAAGGCGGCUCACUGGACCGGUUCUGACGCUGAGGCGCGAAAGCGUGGGGAGCAACAGG
rnacentral:rRNA from 1 species